AUGGGAUCGGAGCAGGAGAAGAAGGCCGCCGCCACGGUGGAAGUGGAAGGCAUCCCGUUCCCGCGGGAAAUCGCCGGCGCCAAGGCGCUCUCGCUCGUCGGCCAUGGCGUCACGGACAUUGAGAUCCACUUCCUUCAGAUCAAGUUCAACGCCGUCGGGGUCUACCUCGACGUCGACGGCGCCAUGGAGCAUCUGCAGGGCUGGAAGGGGAAGAGCCAGCUGAUGGAGGACGAGGCUUUCUUCGACGCCCUGGUCUCCGCUCCGGUGGAGAAGGUGCUGAGGGUGGUGGUGAUCAAGGAGAUCAAGGGGUCGCAGUACGGCGUGCAGCUCGAGAGCUCCGUCAGGGACCGCCUCGUGGCGGCGGACAAAUACGAGGACGACGAGGAGGAGGCGCUCGAGAAGGUCUCCGACUUCUUCCAGUCCAAGUACUUCAGGCCCGGCUCCGUCGUCACCUUCCACUUCCCGGCCACGCCCACCGCCGCGCCAGAGAUAACGUUCGUGACAGAAGGCAAGGAGGAGGCCAAGGUGGCGGUGGAGAACGCGGCCGUGGCGGAGAUGAUCCAGAGGUGGUACCUCGGCGGCGAGUCGGCGGUGUCGCAGACCACCGUCAGGAGCAUCGCUGAUAGUUUCGCGGCAAUGCUCUCCUCACCAUGA
rnacentral:rRNA from 1 species